UUGAGGACUGUUGGGGGUGGUGCGGGAACGGGAUUUGGGUGCGGCUGCUUAAGGUGGUAGCGCCCUUGCAACCCCCCACCCCUAACACACCCAAGGGGAGGUGAUGGGAAACCUCGCCCUGCCUUUCCCUGAUUCUGCUCCUUCCCGCCUCCUCUCCCUUUAUCCUUGUUAUUCCGUGUUUAUUCCCCCCGUUCUGGGCCGAGUCCCCGGCGUAGCCUCCUCUCCCCCCACCAGCCAGAGCUCACCGGUGAUGUAAUGCGGGACCCGCGCAGGCAGGGGAAGCAGUAGCCUGGCAGCGGCGGUUCCUGUCCUUGAAAACCGUGAUCUCAUCUCUCCGUCCAAGAGCGAAAGCCAGUAACCACCGAGUCGUUUACACUUUCCGCUUUCACUAGCAAAGCCCAGGCAGCCUUGCAGCGUUCUUCUCGGGGAGGAAGCAGAGGUGGCAUUUUCCUUUCACCCAUUGGAGGAAAUUUUGAAACUAAACAGGAUCCUUCUUUCCCCUUGAAAUGGUGCUUGCUGAGAUUGAAGGAGGUUCAAAGACAGACUCACAGCCAGGUCUUGCUGACUCCCUGACGCCCACCACUUGGGAUGGAGCUUGGACCUCACCCUAUGAAGACAGAAUCCCCCUUUAAACAAGGAAGGGGAAGGGGAUGGCUCUCUGGGUUCCCAAGAGAUGGAAACGUUCCCACUUUCUCUCCAGAUUCUCUGUAGAAGACAGCAAGAUGGUCGAGAGAAUGUUUGUGAAGAGGACAAAUGAAUGGGAAGUAAGCUGAAGGAAAAGGAAAGAAAGCAAGGAAUGUACAGACCAGUGUACAGACAAGAGGAGGAAUUGUCUUUAGAGAAAAAAAACUAUAACUUUUCUAUGACAUUUGAAAAUAAAUUAAUUUUUUUACUCUA